CGCAUGUGCAAUGCAUUGUCUUCGUAUAAAUGUCGUCUGCUCACGAUGGUUGUUAAAAUCAAAAUGUUUUCAUCACAAAACAUCGGAACCCUUGAAGUAACGUCACUGUGUACAAUUCUGGAAGAGACUGAACAACACGAUUUAAGCCAUCACAGACCAUCAACAGAUUUUCAACUGUGCACUCAUUACUGCAAAUACUGGUUCAUUAAGAUGAUGAAGAGCAGCAGUUUCCUCACAGGAGAUGCACCAGGGCUUUGAUGAGAACACUUAGAUUGCAGA